UAGUUCUAUCAUCUUGUAGGCUUCUCAAAAAGUAGUCUGUCCGCCUUUAAAGAUAUUUAUUUCAAUCUUCAAACUAUUAUUACGUACAUAAUCCCUUUUAACGACUUUUAAUACGCACUUGCAGAAAUCCCGCAAAUAAUCGAGCGGAUUCAUUUUUUUUCGAAGUGGAAAAUAACUAACGGAAAGGAAAAGCAUUGAAUCAAAGCUACAAUUACGCCGCCAAGGACUUAUGCAAAUAUUCAGAGUCGAAUACGUAAGCAUACACGUAUGUGUGUGUAUGGAGCUGUAAUUGUGGAAGGAAUAUAAGCGCAUGAAGAUUGUUUUCGCGCUUUAUGUGCUCGUACUUCACAACAUUCGCAGUGCUUCUCGAAAGAGUUAGAUAAAUUUUAUAAGAUAAAAUGAGUAGCUACGAACAUAUGGAUUAGAAACGAAAUGGAGAAUCAUCGGUAGACAUGGAGGUAGGCCAAUCAGAAGCGCAGGUGGCUACGUAACGCAGGGUAACGUCCAGUUUCAUCUGCAAUUUGUGGAAGCAGUUGAAGCAAACUGGAUCCGUAUUGAGAAAACCUGUAUAGGGUCGACCAAGAUCCAUAAUAACGAAUAAGGAUUGUUAUUUGGCACUUUCAGCGUGGCCACAAAGAACUGCUACAGCCUCAGCGCUCCCACAUAAACCAACGCCAAUGGAACCCGAGUUAAGCAGUCUGCAGUUGACUGAAGGCUUUAAUGAGAUAGGGUUGUAUGCCAAAAGACCAGCUGUUUGCGUCCGCUGACUGCAACACCCAACAGAGCGCGUUUAACAUGGUGCAGACAUGAGCCUUGGACCAGACUUCAGUGGAGCACUGUGCCUAUUACAGAUCAGUCGAGACUCAGCCUGGACUCUUGAUUGUCGGUAUAUUUGGAGAAUGCCUGGAACACGGUACCGCCCGUCCCUCAUCAGAGAAAAGGAUUAUUACGGUGGUGGAGGUGUAAUGGUUUGGGAGGCAUUAUGUUGGAUGAGCGCAAACCCCUGCAUGUAUUUGACAAAGGCUCCUUGAUUGCUAGGGUAGAAAGAGGAGAUCUUAGUGCCCUUUGUUCGACUUUUCCGGGGCGCAAUUGGUCCUGGGUUCUUGUUAACGGACGACAACAUUUGGCCGCAUAAGGCUCAGAAUAUCGACGAUAAUCUGGAAAGAGAAAAUAUUCUUUGCAUGAUUGACCAGCCAGAUUAAUUUAUAUUUAAAUCAUAAUACAGAGAAUAUGUAUUCAUGUUAUGAUUCAAUUAACAUUGCAAAUAUCUAUUUAAUUCGGCAACAAAUGAUAUAGAAAUAUUUAAAUGGAAAUUUCUGAAGAAUUUUCUGUAAUAAUUCAGAUUCACGUUAGUAAAUAAAUAAAAACGUCUUUGUCAGGGAUUAGACAUUCAACCUAUUCGUAUUUUAAAGAGUCUAUAAUUUUUUUCUCGAAUAUGCCUUGAUCUUUUAUAAUUUUUAUACAGAUAUCACUUCAAUAAGUAAUUUUUACUAAAUAUUUUAAACCUCGCUAAUCUGAAGAGUUCUGGAUUUUAGCAAUUCCACGUUAUCAAAUACACCAUGUAAUAAGACUAAAGUCAUAAAUUUUCGGAUUUUUUUGUUAUUGUAUGUAUUCAGGCAUUAAAAAAUUUAAGAUAGGAAUUCUGCAAAAUAUUUAAUGAAAUAUAUUUUUUAUUUCACAAAUAGCCUCAUUCACCAGCCUCAAUGCCUGUGACCUUGGUAUAAUUUUUUUUCCCUCGUCAGUCUCUUCUCUUAGCUGUCUACGUAUUCAACACAAUUUGAAUUAUGACAUAAUCAUUUGACCUUUCCAUAACUGGUUCAUUUUUAUAAUUGCAGUCCACUUAAAAAAAUCUACUAAAAGCAAUUAAGAUAAAUAAAUACAAGCAAAAAAAAAAAAAAAAAAAAAAAAAAAAAAAAA
rnacentral:lncRNA from 1 species